GCUAUUUAUAGAGUGGCGCACGGGUGAGUAACGCGUGGGAACCUGCCUUUCUCUGCGGGAUAACGGUUGGAAACGACCGCUAAUACCACAUACGCCCUACGGGGGAAAGGUCCGCCGGAGAAAGAGGGGCCCGCGUCUGAUUAGCUAGUUGGUGGGGUAACGGCCUACCAAGGCUACGAUCAGUAGCUGGUCUGAGAGGAUGAUCAGCCACACUGGGACUGAGACACGGCCCAGACUCCUACGGGAGGCAGCAGUGGGGAAUAUUGGACAAUGGGGGCAACCCUGAUCCAGCAAUGCCGCGUGUGUGAAGAAGGCCUUAGGGUUGUAAAGCACUUUCACUGGUGAAGAUGAUGACGGUAACCAGAGAAGAAGCCCCGGCUAACUUCGUGCCAGCAGCCGCGGUAAUACGAAGGGGGCGAGCGUUGUUCGGAAUUACUGGGCGUAAAGGGCGCGUAGGCGGUCUUUUAAGUUAGGCGUGAAAUCCCCGGGCUCAACCUGG
rnacentral:rRNA from 1 species